AAGAGGCUGAAACUCGCCUCUUUGAAGUCGGAAUCGCUAGUAAUCGCAGAUCAGCAUGUUGCGGUGAAUACGUUUCCUGGUCUUGUACACACCGCCCGUCAAACCACGAGAGUCGCCAACACCCGAAGUCCGCUUUGCGGCCUAAGGUGGGGGAGAUGAUUGGGGUUAAGUCGUAACAAGGUAAC
rnacentral:rRNA from 1 species